AUUGAACGCUGGCGGCAUGCCUUACACGUGCAAGUCGAACGGUAACGCGGGGCAACCUGGCGACGAGUGGCGAACGGGUGAGUAAUGCAUCGGAACGUGCCCAGUAGUGGGGGAUAGCCCGGCGAAAGCCGGAUUAAUACCGCAUACGACCUACGGGUGAAAGCGGGGGACUCGCAAGAGCCUCGCGCUAUUGGAGCGGCCGAUGUCAGAUUAGGUAGUUGGUGGGGUAAAAGCCUACCAAGCCGACGAUCUGUAGCUGGUCUGAGAGGACGACCAGCCACACUGGGACUGAGACACGGCCCAGACUCCUACGGGAGGCAGCAGUGGGGAAUUUUGGACAAUGGGCGCAAGCCUGAUCCAGCCAUGCCGCGUGCGGGAAGAAGGGCCCUUCGGGUUGGUAAACCGCUUUGUCAGGGAAGAAACG
rnacentral:rRNA from 1 species